rnacentral:rRNA from 1 species
GUAGGUGGCAAGCGUUGUCCGGAAUUAUUGGGCGUAAAGCGCGCGCAGGCGGUUCUUUAAGUCUGAUGUGAAAGCCCACGGCUCAACCGUGGAGGGUCAUUGGAAACUGGAGAGCUUGAGUACAGAAGAGGAAAGCGGAAUUCCACGUGUAGCGGUGAAAUGCGUAGAGAUGUGGAGGAACACCAGUGGCGAAGGCGGCUUUCUGGUCUGUAACUGACGCUGAGGCGCGAAAGCGUGGGGAGCAAACAGGAUUAGAUACCCUGGUAGUCCACGCCGUAAACGAUGAGUGCUAAGUGUUAGGGGGUUUCCGCCCCUUAGUGCUGCAGCUAACGCAUUAAGCACUCCGCCUGGGGAGUACGGCCGCAAGGCUG